rnacentral:misc_RNA from 1 species
GGAAGGAUCAUUCCUAUAAAACUACUCACACUUUAAGAAUCCCUGAUGAUGGCGCAGUUACCUGCCAUCAACCCUUUUAAACUUAGCCUAGUAUCGCAUUCAAUAAUAAUUACAUCUAUUGACAACGGAUACCUUGGCUCUCACAACGAUGAAGAACGCAGCGAACCGCGAUAUGUAUUGCGAAUUGCAGAAUUCAGUGAAUCAUCAAAAUUUUGAACGCAAGUUGCGCUCUCUGGUAUCCCGGAGAGCAUACCUCUUUCAGUGUCGUUUCUCAUCUAAAGUGUACUUUACAUUUUACUUUCGGGUCUGUUGAUCCGAGAAAUGACAUGACAUCUGUUGGGUCCGUGACUAAUGUAGAAAUAACUUCAUUGAUCUGUGGACUCGGCAGGUACUCAGUGUACUGACCUGAAAUGAGGCAAGAUUACCCGCCGAAUUUAAGCAUAUUAAUAAGCGGAGGAAAAGAAACUAACUAGGAUUCCCUUAGUAACGGCGAGUGAACCGGGAAAAGCUCAAACUGAAAAUCUUGUGGUUUCGGCCAUGAGAAUUGUAGUUAUAGAGGCAUUAUCAGCGAACGGCUCCGGUUUAAGUGUGCUGGAACACAACAGCAGAGAGGGUGAGACUCCCGUUCUAGGCUGGAAGACUGUCGCGUACGAUGUGCUUUCUACGAGUCGGGUUGCUUGGGAGUGCAGCCUUAAAUGGGUGGUAAAUUCCAUCUAAAGCUAAAUAUCUGUGAGAGACCGAUAGCACACAAGUACCGUGAGGGAAAGGUGAAAAGUACUUUGAAAAGAGAGUCAAACAGCACUUGAAAUUGUCAAUGGUCAAGCGAUUGGAACCAGUGUUAAGGACGUCUUUGCUUUGGAGUUUCGGCUUCAUUGUGUAUGGGCGUUCCGUCAUCAGAGUAAGCUGUGAAUGAAGGACAGGUUUCACCGAUGGGUAGCGUUGCUUGCAGCGCGAUGGUCGGAGAUUCCCACUUUAUAACUCAUAUUCUGAAGAAAUGGUUUCAAUUGACCCGUCUUGAAACACGGACCAAGGAGUCUAACGUAUUGGCGAGUCGGAGAGUGUCAAACUCUUAGGCGUAAUGAAAGUGAAGCUGUCUCUAUGAUGGUGAGGUGUGCGGGGUAACCUUCAACACCGCCCGGUCUAUUCAUUAGUGAUAGAUUCGAGGCCGAGCCAACACGCUAGGACCCGAAAGAUGGUGAACUAUGCCUGAGCAGGGUGAAGCCAGGGGAAACUCUGGUGGAAGCUCGCAGCGAAUCUGACGUGCAAAUCGAUCGUAUGACUUGGGUAUAGGGGCGAAAGACUAAUCGAACCAUCUAGUAGCUGGUUCCCUC